rnacentral:rRNA from 1 species
GAUGAACGCUGGCGGCGUGCCUAAUACAUGCAAGUCGAGCGAACAGAUGAGGAGCUUGCUCCUCUGACGUUAGCGGCGGACGGGUGGGUAACACGUGGAUAACCUACCUAUAAGACUGGGAUAACUUCGGGAAACCGGAGCUAAUACCGGAUAAUAUAUUGAACCGCAUGGUUCAAUAGUGAAAGACGGUUUUGCUGUCACUUAUAGAUGGAUCCGCGCCGCAUUAGCUAGUUGGUAAGGUAACGGCUUACCAAGGCAACGAUGCGUAGCCGACCUGAGAGGGUGAUCGGCCACACUGGAACUGAGACACGGUCCAGACUCCUACGGGAGGCAGCAGUAGGGAAUCUUCCGCAAUGGGCGAAAGCCUGACGGAGCAACGCCGCGUGAGUGAUGAAGGUCUUCGGAUCGUAAAACUCUGUUAUUAGGGAAGAACAAAUGUGUAAGUAACUUUGCACGUCUUGACGGUACCUAAUCAGAAAGCCACGGCUAACUACGUG